rnacentral:misc_RNA from 1 species
UAUUCAUCGCGCCCACCUUGGCAUUCAUCUUCUUUGUGUGUGUGUGUGUGUGUCCUCUUGUUAUUCGAUUUGCCACACAUGUGGUGACACGAGCGAUGGACCAUGUUGUCAAGAGUCUCUUCCUCUUUCGUCUUACCUCGACACGACACCCACGGAUGUAUGCAAGCCCACACGACAGAAUACAUAUCUAUAGCACUAUCUAUACAUAUCCAUCUAUAUAGAUGGAUAAGUAGACAUGUAUAGAUCUAUGUUAAUGUGUGCAUAUAUGUGUGCGUAUUCGAAGCUGUCCGCGCCGUAGCGGGCCGCUUCCUCAACAGCAACAAAAGAGACCGACACUCGCAGCGCAGUCAUUGCGUCUGUGGUACUCGCUGCCCGGCGGCUCACGUGGGAUGAUGAGGCCUACAAGGGGCGCACACACUGCCCCAGCAUACAAAGAGGGCGCAGCGUAGGAUUUUAGAAUACCGUGUUCUCUGCGUUUCUCUCCAUUGGUGGGGUGCCGUAAGCCGACCCCGGCGCAGCACCACCGAUAAUCGGAGGUAUGGCCUACCUUCCUUCGCAUGGCCCCACGCGCUGCUUCCGUG